UGGGUCGGCAAGGCGGUCGCGGCAGUUUACUGACGAGGAACGUCCGGGCUCCAAAGAGCAAAAUGGUGGGUAACGCCCACCCGGGGUAACCCGAGAGAUAAGUGCAACAGAAAGUAAACCGCCGAGCAAUCGGUAAGGGUGAAACGGUGGUGUAAGAGACCACCAGCGAACUGAGUGAUCAGAUCGGCUAUGUAAACCUCAUUUGGAGCAAGACCAAACAGUGAGCGCUUGAGGGCUGCUCGCCCAAGCUC
rnacentral:RNase_P_RNA from 1 species